rnacentral:rRNA from 1 species
CGAGGAAUAGAAUGCUUGCAUUCUAUAACCGAGUGGCGAACGGGUGAGUAACACGUGACCAACCUGUCUUCAGGUGAGGGACAACCUGGGGAAACCCGGGCUAAUACCGCAUAAUGUCUUUUUUUUCACAUGGGAGAGAGACCAAAGGGGGCCUCUGCUUGCAAGCUCUCGCCUGAUGAGGGGGUCGCGUCGUAUCAGCUUGUUGGUGAGGUAACGGCUCACCAAGGCAAUGACGCGUAGCGGGUCUGAGAGGACGAUCCGCCACAUUGGGACUGAGAUACGGCCCAGACUCCUACGGGAGGCAGCAGUAGGGAAUAUUGCGCAAUGGUCGAAAGACUGACGCAGCGACGCCGCGUGUGGGAGGAAGCCUUUCGGGGUGUAAACCACUGUCAGGAGGGAAGAACCCCGAGUGUUCGAAUAGGGCACUCGAUUGACGGUACCUCCAGAGGAAGCGCCGGCUAACUCCGUGCCAGCAGCCGCGGUAAGACGGAGGGCGCAAGCGUUGUUCGGAAUUACUGGGCGUAAAGCGCACGCAGGCGGUUUGCUCAGUCCUAUGUGAAAGCCCGGGGCUCAACCCCGGAAUUGCAUGGGAUACUGGCAGACUGGAGACUGGUAGAGGCUAGCGGAAUUCCUGGUGUAGCGGUGGAAUGCGUAGAUAUCACGAAGAACACCUGUGGCGAAGGCGGCUAGCUGGGCCAGAUCUGACGCUCAUGUGCGAAAGCGUGGGGAGCAAACAGGAUUAGAUACCCUGUAGUCCACGCCGUAAACGAUGGGCACUAGAUGCCUGGGCAUAUAGACGUG